GUCUCUGUAUCGCAAUAAAUAGCGCUUUGGAAUUCUAAUCCAAAAGUCGUGGGUUCGAAUCCCAUCGAGGAUA